rnacentral:rRNA from 1 species
GACGAACGCUGGCGGCGUGCUUAACACAUGCAAGUCGAGCGGUAAGGCCCUUUCGGGGGUACACGAGCGGCGAACGGGUGAGUAACACGUGGGUGACCUGCCUCUAGCUCUGGGAUAAGCCCGGGAAACUGGGUCUAAUACUGGAUAUGACUCCAUGACGCAUGUUGUGGGGUGGAAAGCCUUGUGCGGCUAGAGAUGGGCCCGCGGCCUAUCAGCUUGUUGGNGGGUGAGUGGCCUACCAAGGCGACGACGGGUAGCCGGCCUGAGAGGGCGACCGGCCACACUGGGACUGAGACACGGCCAGACUCCUACGGGAGGCAGCAGUGGGGAAUCUUGCGCAAUGGGCGAAAGCCUGACGCAGCGACGCCGCGUGA